rnacentral:rRNA from 1 species
CCUACGGGUGGCAGCAGUGAGGAAUAUUGGUCAAUGGACGAGAGUCUGAACCAGCCAAGCAGCGUGAAGGAUGACGGCCCUAGGGGUUGUAAACUUCUUUUAUAUGGGAAUAAAAUGUUCCACGUGUGGGAUUUUGUACGUACCAUAUGAAUAAGGAUCGGCUAACUCCGUGCCAGCAGCCGCGGUAAUACGGAGGAUCCGAGCGUUAUCCGGAUUUAUUGGGGUUAAAGGGGGCGUAGGUGGAUUGUUAAGUCAGUUGUGAAAGUUUGCGGCUCAACCGUAAAAUUGCAGUUGAAACUGGCAGUCGUGAGUACAGGAGAGGUAGGUGGAAUUCGUGGUGUAGCGGUGAAAUGCUUAGAUAUCACGAAGAACUCCGAUUGCGAAGGCAGUUCACUGGACUGCAACUGACGCUGAGGCUCGAAAGUGUGGGUAUCAAACAGGAUUAGAUACCCCGGUAGUC